rnacentral:rRNA from 1 species
UACGAAGGGGGCUAGCGUUGCUCGGAAUCACUGGGCGUAAAGGGUGCGUAGGCGGGUUUUUAAGUCAGAGGUGAAAUCCUGGAGCUCAACUCCAGAACUGCCUUUGAUACUGGAAAUCUUGAGUAUGGGAGAGGUGAGUGGAACUGCGAGUGUAGAGGUGAAAUUCGUAGAUAUUCGCAAGAACACCAGUGGCGAAGGCGGCUCACUGGCCCAUAACUGACGCUGAGGCA